GUCUCAGACUUCCAAUGAAUUCAGAGCUGUAAUGGGAUACAACCUGAAUGAACAAAAUUAAACGGUCAUGGUGAUCUUGAGUGCAACAUUUCAACAAGAAUGAUUAAAAGAGAAGAAUAUCCUUUAAACCUAUCCAUGCAGACAUUCAGCUGUCCAGCAGUCACAAGUAUGAAUGAGUUUUCUGGAAUGGGGACAAGGACCUGGAAAGCCAUUUUGUGUUACCUGAACCAUGUGGAAGAUAACAGGAAGAUGAACUCAGCAGGUGAAGAUGACACCCACUGUAUUUCAGAAGUUGUUUUCAACUGAGUUCUGGUUCUUUCAGGGAAGACUCCUGAUACAGUUCUCCUGAUGGUUUG